UAUUCCAGUUGGAAUUUAGUUUAGAAUGAGAUUAGCAGCUGAACUUAAUUUUUAGCAAUUGUAAAAGAGCAUUGUGAAAUAUAUCUUGCGAUUUCAGUGACGAACUAACCAAAGUCCAUUGAAUGUUAGAGUUAGCAUGAAAGAAAGUCAUCUAAUAAGCGAAGUAGUAGAGAUCUAAUAAUAGUUUAUGAAGAGUCAUGCGAGAGAUAUUCCCCUUGAAGUCCACGGGCGAUCCCCCACACGAUCGUGAUUUCUUUUUUUUUUUAUAGACACACAUAAGUCACAUCGAGCACGUCUCGAUCGCCAGACCGACCUGGAAGCUCGUGCUCCGUAGGCCCCGGCGACUUUGACCACCAGCUGCCCACGUGCGCGCAUAAUCGCCAGACAGCCAACUAAUUCCAGUUGGCUGCGAUGGGCCAAGCCAUUUGGUGCCCAAAGAAAUCCAACCACCGCGUGAUCACGUGAAUGAAGUUCGCCAAUCAAUUAAUGGCCCGUACGCCCACGAAACCGGAGUAAAAAACGUCUGGGCUUGGAGCUGAUUACCUCGUUAGGCGAGAUAAGGUGUCGCUGCUGGCGGCAAAUGCCUUCAUUUAUCGCGAAAAGGUGACACAUGGACACCAGCCGAGGGGAAAGUUACUGACUAGCGGCUAGAAUGAGGGGCUCGUCAUGCGAACCACACGGCGGAUGCGUGAUCUGGCCGCUAGUCGACGCGGCUUACGGGCUAAGCACCUCCAACUACUGGAUUGCUGGGGUUUAUUGACAGUCGAUUCAAGUGUGUGCCAACUAUGUAUAUAUAUGCAUUUGUUGACAUUUUCCGUUGGCGUCAUUGCUCAGAGGAAACUCUGACCCCUUAACCCUUGGAAAUUAGACAGGAAACGAAUACACGCAAAGAAACGAAGCAGCACUUUAAUUUUAAAUAGCAAUUUCCUUUAUUUUAACAAUUAACGAACAAACUGAUAAAGAUUUA